GAUGAACGCUGGCGGCGUGCCUAAUACAUGCAAGUCGAGCGAACAGAUAAGGAGCUUGCUCCUUUGACGUUAGCGGCGGACGGGUGAGUAACACGUGGGUAACCUACCUAUAAGACUGGGAUAACUUCGGGAAACCGGAGCUAAUACCGGAUAACAUUUGGAACCGCAUGGUUCUAAAGUGAAAGAUGGUUUUGCUAUCACUUAUAGAUGGACCCGCGCCGUAUUAGCUAGUUGGUAAGGUAACGGCUUACCAAGGCAACGAUACGUAGCCGACCUGAGAGGGUGAUCGGCCACACUGGAACUGAGACACGGUCCAGACUCCUACGGGAGGCAGCAGUAGGGAAUCUUCCGCAAUGGGCGAAAGCCUGACGGAGCAACGCCGCGUGAGUGAUGAAGGGUUUCGGCUCAUAAAACUCUGUUAUUAGGGAAGAACAAACGUGUAAGUAACUGUGCACGUCUUGACGGUACCUAAUCAGAAAGCCACGGCUAACUACGUG
rnacentral:rRNA from 1 species